CAAUAGCGUAUAUUAAAGUUGUUGCAGUUAAAAAGCUCGUAGUUGGACCUCGGACCAGGACAGGCGGUCCGCCUCACGGCGAGUACUGUCUUGCUGGGUCUUUCCUCUUGGUGAUCUGUUGUUUCGGCAGCAGGGAACCAGGACCUUUACUUUGAAAAAAUUAGAGUGUUCAAAGCAGGCUCGACGCCGGAAUAUAUUAGCAUGGAAUAAUAAAAUAGGACGUGCGGUUCUAUUUUGUUGGUUUUUGGAAUCGCCGUAAUGAUUAAUAGGGACAGUCGGGGGCAUUAGUACUCACAUGCUAGAGGUGAAAUUCUUGGAUUUUGUGAAGACUAACUUCUGCGAAAGCAUUUGACAAGGAUGUUUUCAUUAA
rnacentral:rRNA from 1 species